rnacentral:rRNA from 1 species
GGGUAGCGUGCAGAGCAUCUGGGUCUACCUCCCACCCGUGUCUAUUGUACCUUGUUGCUUCGGUGGGCCCGCCUGACGCCAGGUCGCCAGGGGGCACUCCCCGGGCGCGCGCCCGCCGAAGACACCCUGGAACUCUGUCUGUGAGUGUUGUCUGAGUAGGAUUUGAAUCAGUUAAAACUUUCAACAACGGAUCUCUUGGUUCCGGCAUCGAUGAAGAACGCAGCGAAAUGCGAUAAGUAAUGUGAAUUGCAGAAUUCAGUGAAUCAUCGAGUCUUUGAACGCACAUUGCGCCCCCUGGUAUUCCGGGGGGCAUGCCUGUCCGAGCGUCAUUGCACCCCUCAAGCCCGGCUUGUCCUUGGGUUGUGUCCCUCCGUCCCGGGGGGACAGGCCUCAAAUGCAAUGGCGGCACCGCGUCCGGUCCUCGAGCGUAUGGGGCUUUGUCACCCGCUUUGUAGGCCGGCCGGUCGCUUGCCCCUUCAAGCACCAACUUCUUAUGUUGACCUCGGAUCAGGUAGGGAUACCCGCUGAACUUAAGCAUAUCA